rnacentral:rRNA from 1 species
AGAGUUAAACAGUACGUGAAAUUGUUGAAAGGGAAACGAUUGAAGUCAGUCAUACCAACGGGAAAUCAACCUCUUGAGUUUGAUCUUGUGGGUUUCGAAGAGUUUAAAAGCCUUCGGAUUUGCGAGGAUUGGGCUCUUCUGGUGUACUUUCUCGUACGGUUAGUCAACAUCGGUUUUGAAUGUCAUAAAAUGACUGGAGGAAUGUGGCUUCGAUCUCGUAUUGAAGUGUUAUAGCCUUCGGCAGAUGUGAUGAUCGGGAUUGAGGAUUGCAACGGAUACCCUUCGGGGCUACCUGUCUGGUCUCUGAUCGUUGCUUUGGUGCCGAAAGCUUGCUUAUGAUGUUAGGGUAUUACGGUCAAAAGGUUAGAACGGAUUAAAUUCGUUAAGGAUGUUGACGUAAUGACUUUAAACGACC